GAGAAUUCUAGAUUCUGUAUCCGGACAAACAGCUCCAGCAUUCCAUAUAUAUUCUGUAUCCGGACAAACAAUAAACAAUACUAAUACUAUAGAGACAAUCCUAUUCUAAUUAAGACUAGGAUAAUAUCGAUAGAGAAUAUUUUGACCUAGUGCUCUGCUAGGGUUUAUCGUUGGCUUUCCCCCUUCGACAAAUUUCUCAGGAUUUCAAGAUCUUGAUGGUCAUGGCUAUUGCUCGUCUGGUAGCUAAUCGUUCCUUUCUUGUUUUUGCUUUUGUGUUCUUGCUCGGAGAGCCGCCUUGGUGUGGGCUCCAUGUGGUUUCUGAUUGGAAGGGUAGUGUUGCUGUUUGGAUGGUUGAUCGGAGGCCGAGCUCUAACGGCGUGGAUCUGGUUUGGCCUGAGUUGGAUGGGCAUGUCUGGGUUUUGGAUCGGGGUCGUCAGACUUCAGACGGUGAUUAGGAUUGUACAAUUGAUUUGGGUAGCCCUGGUGGUUCGCUGCAGCGUCAGGGUGUUGCAGGAGUGGGGUUGGCCCGACCAGUUCAGGGGAGCGAUCAAAGUUUGGAGGAUCUUCAGGUUGUCCUGGGCGACUCCGAUCGGGUUCAGUCCGAUCUAGGAUCUGGUUCCUUCAAUGCUUGCGAAGGCACCGGAAUGGAUCUGAAGUUGGUCCGAGGUGAUCCGGAAUGGGAACGGAUUUGGGUGUCUUUCGGUCUUGGAGAUGGUACAGUCUCAUCGGCGGUGAACCAUGGUGACGGCGGCUAUGGGGAUGGAGGUUUCCAGGGGUUCCCCUCGACUGGUAUUGGCGACAGCGCAUAUGGUGUUUGUUGGGUGGAAGAACACGUGUGGGCUCAAGGAACUAGGGCUAUGGUGUACCCUACUCUUUGGGCCUACUCCCGGUGCUGUUGGGCUUCCUGGGCCUUGACCUGGUUUGUGACCCUUAGGGUUGGGCACACUGGGCUAGGGUUUCAAGCGAGCUGGCUUACCCUUUUGCUAGGGGGUUGGAUGGAUUGGGUCUCUAUGGCCCAUAGUGCUGUUUAAUUUUUGUUUUGGGUCGCAAGAACUAGUGCCUUAGUUGGAACCAUUUUAUGUAAGCUUCGAGGUUUCUAGGUUUUUGUUAGAAUAAAAGUGCGUGAAUUUACUAAAAUGUGGGUGUACUCGGGAUUUUUUGGGGUUUUAUUCUUCUAGAAUAGAGGUUCAGGAGGUUCUAAGGAACGAUUCUUUCUGUCGACCCCAUAGGGGUGUUUCGUUUUUGUACUGCUUGCUGAAUUAUAAUGAAAGGGCUGACCUAUUACCAUAAAAAAAAAAAAAAAAAAAAUACUAAUACUAUAGAGGGAUUGAAUUUGGCAUAUUACGUUUUUGCCCUCAAUAGCUAGCUAGAUAUAUAUAAAAGAUACUAUUCCAAUUCGAGAGCGUCAAUACCCACUUUCAGCCAACAUCAACCAUUUUCAUCAAAAUUGACAUCAGGCUUGCUCCGACACUUGGAUUUGGGUGCUGAUCUCGGACAAUAGAGCUACAGCAAGACCAGGUCAAAUAGACGAAUACCUAUUAUAAAAAUGUUUUAGCUUUGUUGUUUUGUCCAUCUUCUUCUCUUCUAUUCAAGUCUUACUCUAUUAUCUGCUUAGAUGACGUUAAUUUUGACCUUUUGCACUCUUUGAUGAGUCGUUUUUCUUACAAGAGACUGGAAUCGUAAAGUCUGUGGUACUAUCUUUUUCUCGCUUGGAAGAAGGACCGAAGCAACUAGAUCUUGCGUUCUUGGAAUCGGAAGAGGAGGAGAGAAAACUUUUGAUUGAAGAGGGUACCUUUUCAGUGAUUGACAAAACACAGAAAAAAAGAACUUCCUUUCUUUGGUUGUCAAUAAGGUGAACUGUGGGAAAUCAGAACAAAAUGCUUGAAGAAAACGUUCAACCUACAUUGGUUCGUGAGAUAAAGGGUUAUCAGGCCGUCUUCAAAGUGAGGGUUCGUGUAUCCAGAAUAUGGAGGCCAAAGAGAUUUAAAAUUGAGAUAUGUGAUGGCCUUCACUACAUCUUAAUUGACG